GAGAGGGAAUAAGUGAAGCUGCCAGCAUGAUCUAACCUGGGUUAGACUUUGAAUGUAAAAGUUCAAAAGAAAAUGAUGAGAAAAUGCUAACCCUAGCUUGGUCAUGCUCCGGCAGUUUCACUCGUUCUUCUA
rnacentral:pre_miRNA from 1 species